AUGUUGACUCAGUGUAUUGUGUGCACAUGGAGCCUCUCGUGCACCGCUGCACAUUUAGGUUUGGGAGGUUUGAGUAAUGAACUGGAGAAUCUGAUACCUGUAAAUACUGUGUUCACUUCACAUUCUUCUUCUAAUCCUGCUUUGAGUGCGUUUCCUGUCUGCAGUGAGCUCCGGGCUACUCGUGAAGUUGGACUCCUCCUCACUCCAAAGGUCCUCCCGGCUGAGCACAAGGAGGUCGGAGGGCAGAGAAGAAGACGAGCAGACGAGGAGGGGAUGGGAGCGAAGGAGGCCGAGGAGGACGCGGCUCCGCACGCGGAACACCGGACGAAGAAGAAAACCUCCAAAGAAGUUUGUUUCUCGGUGCUGCCGGACAAAUACCAACCUCUGAUCGAGGAGGAGGAGGAGGAGACGCCGGAGGAGAGGAGGAAGAGGAAGGAGGAGAAGAAGAGCAAGAAGAAGGAGAAGUACAAAAGGUACAGGAAGAACGUGGGCAGGGCGCUGCGGCUCAGCUGGCGCUGCCUGACACUCGGUUUACAGCACGUGACCUCCACUUACUCCUCGCCCGCCUGCGCUCUGUCCACUGUGGUGAUGGAAGUCAACCGAACCGCUGGACGCAAAGCAUGAUGGGACACGGAGCCUUUAAUCAAACUGUGCGGAAGUGGACAAACAAACACCGGAGCGGAGCGCGAGGUCCGUGUCCCGGGACACCAGUCAACAGCUUGUUUUUAACUUAAACUUAAACUUAUUAAUAUUAUCAAGUAAAGUCUCCUUCACUUUGUCCUACUUCAUGUCAAACCUUAUUAACAACUACCAAGAGUAAGAAAAUAGGAUGUUUCACCAUGAAAUAUAACAAUUAGAACCAUGAAAAAUGUUUUACCUUAUCCUUAAAUCCCACUUUCAAUUAGCAGGAGAGCGCUAGCUGUUAGCUGCUAGCUGUUAGCUGUUAGCUGCUAGCUGUUAGCUGCUAGCACAGUCCUGCCUGGCUAAACAACGGAGCUAGCAGCUAACAGAUAGCAGCUAACAGCUAGCCGCUAACAGGAUCCAUUGAGUUACCUUAUGAUGCGUUCAGGCUCUCUUCAGUAAAGUGUUGGUUGACGGUAAAUUAUAACGUUCUGUACGUUGUUGGUGAGAAACUUGAAUGAAUGAGUUUGAAGAUGUUUUCAAAAUAAAAUAGAUAUUAGAUGCAUGUUUAAGUGUUUUUAACCGUAGUUGGUGUCAAGUUGUCUUAUGUUUUGACUUUUUGUGCAUUUCUUCAUAUUAUUUGUUUUAAUAUAACAUUGCAUAGAAUGUGUAGGAUAAACUUUACAUUAGUACAAAAUAACUUUUCAGUAAAUGUUACGUAUUUAUGAAAUAAAUGGAGUCUGAACCUGCUCUCUGUUACUGAUCUGUAAACUUAUAUAUUACAUUACUUAUAUAUUUGCACAACAUGCAGAGUUUGCUUAAAGGUCAGAAACAAUACUCACUGAGAAACUCUUUUACUCUGCCCAAGUUUCAUCCAGCUCAAAACUCUAUAACUCAUAUAUAUAUAUAUAUAUACUAUACUAUAUAUAUAUAGUUUUACUGGACACUGAGUGUAACAUUCACUAAAGCAGAAAGAUGCUUCAUGCGAAGCUUCAUUGUUUGCCUUUAGCAGUUUCUGAAACAGCCCGUCAGGGGGGCGGGCACUCUGUGUCUCCCUGUGAGGACAGGAGGGCGGGCACUCUGUGUCUCCCUGUGAGGACAGGAGGGCGGGCACUCUGUGUCUCCCUGUGAGGACAGGAGGGCGGGCACUCUGUGUUUCCCUGUGAGGACAGGGGGGCGGGGACAUGAAGCCUGUGUGUGCAGGGCAGCAGCUCCUGCUGACAGCAGCAGCUGUCCCUCUGUGAGCAGAGCCUGGAGCUCUU
ensembl:lncRNA uncharacterized protein C1orf115-like